rfam:Danio rerio chromosome 4, GRCz11 reference primary assembly.
AGUAGUGUGGCCGAGGGGUCUAAGGCGCUGGAUUUAGGCUCCAGUCUCUUGGGCGGCGUGGAUUCGAAUCCCACCGCUGCCA